AAAAAAUCCUUCUGCCUUUAAAAAAUAAAAUAAAAUAAAAUAAAAAAUAAAACCAAUCAGAGUUACAGAAGAACAUUAGCCUGAACACCAGGUCUGGGAUCAAAAAAAGUGAGGUCCAGCCAGUCUGGAUCUACCAACUACUAACUGGUUCUGACUGGCCCGAGGUCUCAGGUGCUGCAAGCCUGGCCCCACUGAAAGGCGGUGGGACGCUGGAGAGGCGAGAGCUGCUGGGAGGCCUGGAAGCUAGGGCCGUGCCCCCGCAGUCUUGGUCCCUGUUUAUGGAGAAGGGUCCAGCGGAGCAGGCUGUCACGAAGCCAGGUGCCUUCUGCAGAUCACUGACAUUCCUUGUCCUUGAGCACGUCACUUGCCAUGCCACGUGUGCUUUGCCACGUGAUGUCCUCUGCUCUGUGCAGCAUGCUGCCCUCAGCAGAUGUGCUUGCCACUCUCACUGCCACAACAACAGGCUAUGUAAACCCUUCUGCAUAAAGCACCCAGCCUCAGGUAUUUUGUCACAGUAACGCAAAAGCAACUCGGACACUGCAGUUCUUCAAGAAGGUUAUGCGGUCUCUGCUUCUGCUUCCUCAUUUGCAGACUAUAAGCCAAGCCUUGCUCAUCCUUCAGUCCUGUAAUUCAAGUGCACUUUGCCUCAUGAUGCUGGGCUGAAUCUUCAGCGCAGGUUAGUUACAGACCUGCCCAGGAGGCACCCUUGGAUUCCUGCCCUUCUGUUUGUGACACUGAUCACAAGUGAAGGCUUUUAUUCCCGCACAUUGAUUGUCCUGAAAGUUUUCACACAGGGGUGGGGGGGGGGGCAGGAAUCGCGGAGAAGCCUCGAUGCUCUUCCCGCAGUGGCGAGCUGCAGCCCUAGCCGGACUGCUGGCUUUUCAGGAAACCGAGGCAGCUCCCACUGAUGCAGUCCGCCGUGCACACACGCACACUCGCAUGCAUGCGUACACUGCUCGCUCACAGGGGACGGUGGCCGUGCCCGUGCGGUGGAGACUGCGCUGCCUUUGAGUGCGUGCUCCCCGAGGGCGGCAGCUGUGGAUUUGGACCCCAGCUCAGCCAGGCCCUCAGAACUCGGCAGCUGGCGGGUGACCAGCACCAAAGUGUAGGCCCGGUAGGGCCAGAACUCCGGGUGAGUUUGGGCUUCCUGCCGCCAUCCCACUGCGCGUUUGCUGUGAGGAGGAGCUGGAACUGACAGCACUGGCUUUGAGGUCCCCGAGCUACGCGCUAGCCAGCCCUGUUUUUUUGUUUUGUUUGGCCAAGACGGGGUCUCACUAAGGCGCUAAACUGCCCAGACCGGCUGGAAGUUGCCGCCUCUGGCUUCAGCCUCCUAGGGCGCCGGGUCGCAGCUGCUGCCUUUCUUUCCCGCACUGAGGAGGCGCGAGCCGGUAGGCCGAUCUGGAGCCUGCGCAGCACAGCGACACUGUCCCAGACUGGGGGCGCCCCCUGCCAUGCUCCCUGAGUACCCCGCGCCUGGGGGGCGUGCCUGCUCAGCUCUCUCUGGCUUGCACACACACACUGCCAUUUUCUCCGUGGCUUUGAAUUUUUUUCUUGAACAAAGCAGACAAAUGUGCAGAAGCAAUCUCUAAGAACAAUAUUGCUUGCAAAGCCAAACAAAUGCCUGGCUUCUGGAAGCACAUGGCCCUUGGCCGCCCAGGAGGAGCGGCGGCACCGCUGCCCCCGCGCCUCUCCAGCUGCGUCCUUGAGCUUGGCGGAGCAGCGCUCUCGCCUUGCUGCGCGGCUCUGUGCUUCCCACUGCCGGAUGCGCCGAGCCCUCGCGCUUCCUCGUGCUGCAUUCUUCCGCCUGUGGGAAGGGAGGGAUCGCUGCAAGUCCAUUCUUCCCAACCUCGUGCGGGCAGCCGUGAACUCGGGUCAGAUGUCGCCUGUCUCGCAAGCGAGGGUUGAGCGUCUUGAGUUCCUGUGUUUCUUUCCCCGUAACGAUUUAAGCAGCGAUGCACGGGAGUGAAAUGCUGACGUGGACAGCCUGGGACGGGGGGAGCGCCACAGAAGCGCGCUUCGGAGACAACGAGGUCGUGAUGGGGAGAUCCGAGGGGAUGAAGGACAAAGCUGCCGGAGUCCUGUUUCCCGGAAGCUGCGUGUUUCACACUCUCCAGGGUCUCCCUCCCUUCAAGCCACGCCCACAGGCGUAGCGCCUCUUUCUCUGCACCCACUGGAUGGUCACCCAUGGACUGUUUCUACCCAACACUGACUAGUGUCUGUUAAGACAUUUUUAUGUUUUGAAAGCAGUGUUCAUGGACAUUAACUUGUUGUUUCCUCUCACACGGGUAUUUAAAUGACCUGGUUAAUGAGAUGCAACCUUUUCAACCCUUGCUUGCCAUUUGAGGAAAAUGAGGCAAGAGAAGUCCGGUGACUUGUCCAAGGCGAGGCCUGCAGAGUGGUGAGUGUGACUCAUGCCCCGGAGUCCAGGCCACACUCCCGCGUUUCCCUUCUUCAGCCAGAGAGGGUGGCUGGCACCAGACUCAUCCAGGGUCCCCUCAGGGGACUUUCAGAUGCUCUCUUGUCCUUCUGUCCCUGCUCACCUAGGGUCUCUGUUACCUGCUCUUUCUUCUAUUCUCAGCUUGGAUUUGGGCUUCCUCAGGGUGAGACAAGCAGGGAGCCUCCAUUCCAAGGCGGUCAUACCCAGGUGUGAUCCUGUGGCAGAAACCUGGAGGGAGAUGCUGGGCUGAGCCCUCCAAGGGUUACCCAGGUGCCCUGAGCUCUCUGCACGGCCUGGUGCCUCCCAGAAGAUGGCUCCCUCAGUGGGAGCAGCAUCCCAGACAGAUGGCUUGGGCUCUCACAGGAAGGAGGUGGUCCAGGGUGCGUGGAGAUGAGGCCGUAGCUCCAGCCCUUCUGACCCUUCCUGGCAGAGCACUGCCUUCGUCCCAUGGAGCGGAGUGUGCUGGUAGCCAAGGUCUGUCUCCCAUCAGGAGGAGCUCUACAGGGUGGGCACUGUGUGUGUCCUGUUGGCUAUGGUCCCCUCGGUCCGCAGCAGUGUCAUGACGGUGUUGUCGGCCAAGGCCUCCCAGCAGGUAGGGAGUGACUACGUGGAGAAGCAAAGUGAACUCAUGAAGUCACAGUGGCUAGUGCCAUGCUGGGCCCCAACACUUGCACUGUGAAAAGUGAUUCAGACCAAGGCCCCAGGUCAACCUCAGAAUUUUCACCCUGAAGAUGUAGUAUGUGGAGGGCACUUAGAGGACAGCUUGUGUCAUGGACCUCUGGCAGUAGGUCAGGCCUGCUACUGACACCUAUGGUGGUUGGAGCACAGACGACAGGAACACCAGGGGUGCUGAGGGAAGAGGCUUCUAGGGCGACUUUCUCCAUCCUGAACACAAGUGGGUGUGUGGAAGGUCUGAGUCACUCCCUGAAGAAAAGAUUUUUACAGGACAGUAACAUUCAGGACCGACUACUGGUCAAGGUCACAGGCCAAUGUCUGAGCAAACUCCUGUCCGUUGAUACUUUGGACAAAAAUGCAGGUGGAGCUGGUGACCUGGUGCAGAACCCCUCACCUGCAUGUCCUCGACGCCGGUCCUGAGAGGAGCUGGCGGGGAGGCCAAUGUCAGAACCUGUGUGAGGACUCUACCUGCAGAUGAGCUGAGAGAGAAGAAAAGACCGGCCUCCCACAACCACGCUCUGAGUCAAGUCUUGGUAAAGGAUCAAGGGGAAGCUGACCCUGUUAAUAAUGAUGGCAGGCAUUCCUGGAUAUUUAAUGUUUCAAUCUCUGUGCUGUUAAAGCUCUUUUGCCAUUGA